GUCGAUGUUUUGAACAUAAGCUCUUCAUCAGGAAUUUGGGAUGUAGGCAGACUUGUUGAGUUUCUUCAAUGCUCCUUGUGUUUAUUGCAUAUAAGGUGUGAACGUUUUCUGAUCCAGCAUGUGUAGUGAACAGCUCCUAAAGUCAUAGAGGCAUACAGCACAGAAACAGACCCUUCAGUCCAACUUGUUCAUGCCGACCUGCACCCUUAUUGCUACUUUGACAACUCCGGAUUCGAACCCAGAUCCCCAGAACAUUACCUGGGCCUCUGGAGUAACAGUCUAGUGAUAGUACUAUGAGACUAUCACCUUCCAGUGAAUGCUGAAUAAGCUGAGGGCCCCAAGGCUUUGCUUAGGCUUCAGUAGAUCCAAUUUCUGAUGGAUGUCUAAAACAAUAUUUAAAGACUUGGAGGAGCAGUCCAGGACUCACUGGAUGGGAUCUCCAGGAGGAUGCUUGUUUGCUGAGCAGCCCUGCACAACCUUGCUGGAGUGAGAACGUGGAAGACCAGCUUCCUAAUUCCCCCGUGAAAGGAGAAGGGGAGUCUGAUGGAGUUGCUGAGGGAACCUUUGCUGUUCAUGAGGAUUCUGAGGAGUCCAGGGCAGUAGUGAGAUGAGGCUGACAGGCCUGAGAAAACCCAGUAGUGGCUAGAUUGGAGACUGAAUGGCUUUGCUUGAAUAUUUGUGGACAAUCAGAAAUCAUAGCCAAUUGUAGGGUAGAUACAUUUUUGCCCUUAAAGGAGUUUUGUUUCUGAAAUGUUAAAGAUUAAGAUACUUUGAUUGUAAUUGAAUUUGUUCCCUUUGCACCGAUAAUCUCCUGUUCAGUUUGUUGGUGAUCAAUAUGUAGUUCUGCAGGAUAACAUGGAGUCUGUGUAAGACUGACUCUGCUGUUCUUUGGAAGGGCCAUCCUUCUAUCACGGAAUUAAAGGUACUGAUUGAGCACUGAAACAGAACCAUCCAGUUUAACUUUCCAUUUUCCAGAGGUUACACUCCUCCCAAUGGACAAUAGUGAAUAAGAGCCCCAGCAUUCUUUGCACUGCUGCAGAUGAUGUGCUUGAGUGCGUCUCAGAUAAUCUUCCUCAGGAAAACAAGAACAGUCAGACGUCUAAAUAGAUUGAAGUGGACCAAAUAAAUUCAAUACAAAAUGCUGUAAUGGUUUCAAUUGUAGCUCUGUAUAAAAGAUGGCAUCUAUACAC